rnacentral:rRNA from 1 species
AUUGAACGCUGGCGGCAGGCCUAACACAUGCAAGUCGAGCGGAUGAAGGGAGCUUGCUCCUGGAUUCAGCAGCGGACGGGUGAGUAAUGCCUAGGAAUCUGCCUGGUAGUGGGGGAUAACGUCCGGAAACGGGCGCUAAUACCGCAUACGUCCUGAGGGAGAAAGUGUGGGAUCUUCGGACCUCACGCUAUCCGAUGAGCCUAGGUCGGAUUAGCUAGUUGGUGGGGUAAAGGCCUACCAGGGCGACGAUCCGUAACUGGUCUGAGAGGCUGAUCAGUCACACUGGAACUGAGACACGGUCCAGACUCCUACGGGAGGCAGCAGUGGGGAAUAUUGGACAAUGGGCGAAAGCCUGAUCCAGCCAUGCCGCGUGUGUGAAGAAGGUCUUCGGAUUGUAAAGCACUUUAAGUUGGGAGGAAGGGCAGUAAGUUAAUACCUUGCUGUUUUGACGUUACCAACAGAAUAAGCACCGGCUAACUUCGUG